rnacentral:rRNA from 1 species
CGGAGGAUCCAAGCGUUAUCCGGAAUCAGUUGGGUUUAAAGGGUCCGUAGGCGGUUUGGUAAGUCAGUGGUGAAAGCCCAUCGCUCAACGGUGGAACGGCCAUUGAUACUGCCAGACUUGAAUUAUUAGGAAGUAACUAGAAUAUGUAGUGUAGCGGUGAAAUGCUUAGAGAUUACAUGGAAUACCAAUUGCGAAGGCAGGUUACUACUAAUGGAUUGACGCUGAUGGACGAAAGCGUGGGUAGCGAACAGGAUUAGAUACCCUGGUAGUCCACGCCGUAAACGAUGGAUACUAGCUGUUGGGAGCAAUCUCAGUGGCUAAGCGAAAGUGAUAAGUAUCCCACCUGGGGAGUACGUUCGCAAGAAUG